GUCCGGAUUAGAGUCUGUUGAGGACUACAACUUCGACUUCAACUCUUUUGAAGAACUCUCCUUAUCAGGUUCGCAACACGACGUGGUAAUCACAUCAACACCGCAAGGCAGAUUCAUCUACUGGUCGGGCAUGAAGCCAUCAUUCCUUACCAAAGACAAUGAAUCACGCCUCAUCGUACACUUGGAUAUCCUCCCAUAUAAAGAGGGUAGUCCAC
rnacentral:lncRNA from 1 species